GGAGUCUAGCAUGUGCGCGAGUCAUUGGGAACUUUUCAGUUAGACCCAGAGGCGCAAUGAAAGUGAAGGUCCGCCUCGCGCGGACCGAGGGAGGAUGGGCGUGUCCGUCCGAAAGGCGGCCGCCUCGCACUCCCGGGGCGUCUCGUUCUCAUUGCGAGAAGAGGCGCACCAAGAGCGUACACGCUGGGACCCGAAAGAUGGUGAACUAUGCCUGGUCAGGACGAAGUCAGGGGAAACCCUGAUGGAGGUCCGUAGCGAUUCUGACGUGCAAAUCGAUCGUCGGAACUGGGUAUAGGGGCGAAAGACUAAUCGAACCAUCUAGUAGCUGGUUCCCUCCGAAGUUUCCCUCAGGAUAGCUGGCGCUCGUAGCGUACGAGUUUCAUCCGGUAAAGCGAAUGAUUAGAGGCAUUGGGGUCGAAACGGCCUCAACCUAUUCUCAAACUUUAAAUGGGUGAGAUCUCCGGCUUGCUCGAACUCUUGAAGCCGCGAGACUCGAAUCAGAGUGCCAAGUGGGCCAUUUUUGGUAAGCAGAACUGGCGCUGUGGGAUGAACCAAACGCCGAGUUAAAGCGCCUAAAUCGACGCUUAUGGGAUACCAUGAAAGGCGUUGGUAACUUAAGACAUCAGGACGGUGGCCAUGGAAGUC
rnacentral:rRNA from 1 species